rnacentral:tRNA from 1 species
GCGCCCGUAGCUCAAUCGGCAGAGCAGGGGACUCUUAAUCCCAAGGUUGUAGGUUCGAUUCCUACCGGGCGUACCA